rnacentral:rRNA from 1 species
GUCCUACGGGGCGCAGCAGUGAGGAAUAUUGGUCAAUGGGCUUACGCCUGAACCAGCCAAGUCGCGUGAGGGAAGACUGCCCUGUGGGUUGUAAACCUCUUUUGUCAGGGAGCAACGCCGGCUACGUGUAGCCGGACUGAGAGUACCUGAAGAAAAAGCAUCGGCUAACUCCGUGCCAGCAGCCGCGGUAAUACGUAUGGGGCAAGCGUUAUCCGGAUUUACUGGGUGUAAAGGGAGCGUAGGCGGCAGGGCAAGCCUGAUGUGAAAGCCCGGGG